UAUGCCGGCCCAGCUAAAACCAGAGAACACGAUAACCCUAAUCGGAUUUACAGGGUUCUCGCCUUCGUCCUCCCUAUCUCCACCGGCGCCGAUCGUGAAGAAACGGAUACUGUAACGGAUCUGUUGCUUGCGCAUCGUAAUUACUACAAAUGUCUUAAAUUCGUGCCUCUAAUGCGGUCUCUUCGGUUGUUGAUCAUACGUUGGUGUGUCCUAUAAAAGGUUUUCUUCUCGGAUUUGAAAUCCGGCCGGUGCUCCGCCGUCGUUGAGGCGCGACUGCUUCGGUACUGGGAAGCAAGAAACAUGAAAUGUGGCGGCGAGCUCAUGUGGGCUGAUCUUCUUUUGGUGGACGUCAACGUAAGUUAAUUCCAUCCGAUUUGUUUUACUAUUUGAUUUGUGGUUUGACUGUUGCAUUUUUUUUUGUUUUUUUCCCCCGUUUGGAUGUUGUCUCGAUUGACUAAUUAGGUAUUUUAUUGUUGGGGUUUUGUUUAUGUUGAACUGGCCGUAAAACUGAAUUUAGUUACUUUGGUUUUGGGUGUGUUGUUAUAUUUCCAUACUAUGAUUGUCUGAUGGUUCUUUCCUAUGCUGUUCUCUUGAAAUCAUCCUGACGUAUACAAACAUAUCCUUCCUCCGACAAUGGUACGUUAAAACCCGCUUCACGGUUCUGAUCCUGAUUCUGCAACCACCAAGGAGAAUUUCGAAGCCUGCUUCGGCAUCUGUAGAGGCAGUGCCGGUUAAAUCUCCAACGGAAAGCUCUUCCGCAUCUGAUAAUAGAGAAUUUAGGCUAGGAUGAUGCAAUCAAAAGCAAGAGAUCAAGCAUACCAUAGAAAACAAGCUUCACCGGAAUGCGGGGUCCAGAAGAUCUAAUUGCAACAUAAGAAAUGGAAUCACUGAGAAUCCAGGAAAAUACAGUGGAGACUUUGUGUAGCAGUUCAAAAUAUUCCAUAAUGAGCUUAAGGAUUUCUUGAAUGCUGGAAGCUUCACUGAACAACUUGAUUCUAUGAAAAUAUCUAUGGAUGAGAGAGGUCUUUCUUCUCUCAGUCUGUUUUUUGAAUGUAAAGAGCGCCUUGACGCAACAGGAGAAUCAACCAAUGUUUUGGAGUUGAUUAAAACUAUGCAUUCUCUGGCUUCUCUAAGAGAAACAAUUGUUAAGUAACUCAAUAGUGGCUUAAGAAAUGAUGCUCCUGAUACUGCCAUUGCAAUGCGCCAGAAGUGGCACCUUUGUGAGAUUGGCCUCGAGGACUACUUUUUUGUUCUACUAAGCAGAUUCCUCAACGCUCUUGAAACUAUGGGAGGAGCUGUUCAACUGGCGAAAGAUGUGGAAUCAUAAAAUGUUUCCUCCUGAAAUGAUCCUCUAGAUGCUUUGGUCUUGGGUGUUCAUCAAGUAGGUCUAUCGGGUUGGAAGCAGGAAGAAUGUUUAGCCAUUGGAAAUGAACUACUACCGUGGCGAGAGAGACCUACUUGAAACAGAAGGGGAAGAGAAUGGAAAAACAUACACUUGGUUCUGAGGGAUGGGACGUUAUUAUACCUGGAUCCAUUUCUGGGCCAUUAGUUCUGAAGGAGCAAGCAAGUCAGAUUCUGCGGGAAGAAAGGUCUAUAGGUCAUAGAUGAUCUGAUCGAUAUGGAAGUCAUGAAAAGAAGAGAAAAGAAUCUGACGAAGGAAACAAGAAGAAGCCAUGAAAAGGUGGGAGAUUUGCUUCUUUAUAGGCAAAGUGAGCAACUUUGACUAAAAGCCAACCAAACACAUCGCUGUUCAGAUGUGUAUUCUCAAACUUGAACCAAACCGGUUGGUGAGAUAGAUAAACGUGUUAUUGUAUUGUGAGUAAUACUUUUGCUAAUUUUUAAUAUUGUUGGGCUUUGUA